AUAAAUCAUAUCGUAUACCCUGUAAUUUUAUGCGAACUGUUGUCUGAGGUUUU
rnacentral:antisense_RNA from 1 species